rnacentral:tRNA from 3 species
GAUUCCGUAGCUCAGCUGGUAGAGCAUAACACUUUUAAUGUUAGGGUCCUGGGUUCGAGCCCCAGCGGGAUCACCA